GGGUGGUAAUGCCGGAUGCUCCAUCAUACCGCAUGGUGUGUUGGGAAAGCCUUUGCGGCAUGGGAUGGGGUCGCGUCCUAUCAGCUUGAUGGCGGGGUAACGGCCCACCAUGGCUUCGACGGGUAGCCGGCCUGAGAGGGCGACCGGCCACAUUGGGACUGAGAUACGGCCCAGACUCCUACGGGAGGCAGCAGUGGGGAAUAUUGCACAAUGGGCGCAAGCCUGAUGCAGCGACGCCGCGUGAGGGAUGGAGGCCUUCGGGUUGUAAACCUCUUUUGUUAGGGAGCAAGGCAUUUUGUGUUGAGUGUACCUUUCGAAUAAGCACCGGCUAACUACGUGCCAGCAGCCGCGGUAAUACGUAGGGUGCAAGCGUUAUCCGGAAUUAUUGGGCGUAAAGGGCUCGUAGGCGGUUCGUCGCGUCCGGUGUGAAAGUCCAUCGCUUAACGGUGGAUCCGCGCCGGGUACGGGCGGGCUUGAGUGCGGUAGGGGAGACUGGAAUUCCCGGUGUAACGGUGGAAUGUGUAGAUA
rnacentral:rRNA from 1 species